CCCGCCUGUUUACCAAAAACAUCGCCUCUUGACUUCCAUAAGAGGUCCAGCCUGCCCAGUGAUACUAUUAAACGGCCGCGGUACCCUAACCGUGCGAAGGUAGCAUAAUAACUUGUUCUUUAAAUGGGGACUAGCAUGAACGGCAUCACGAGGGUCUCACUGUCUCCUUUUUCUAAUCAGUGAAACUGAUCUCCCCGUGAAGAAGCGGGGAUAAAAAUAUAAGACGAGAAGACCCCAUGGAGCUUUAAACCCAAUAGACACCUCUGACUAAUCUAACCCAAAACACUUCUUAAGUUCUGUCUAUUGGUUUUAGGUUGGGGUGACCACGGAGUACAAUAAAUCCUCCAUGACGUACGGGACUUCCCUCUUAUCCUUGAACCACAUUUCUAAGAAUCAACAAAUUGACGUUUGAUGAUCCAAUAUAUUGAUCAACGGACCAAGUUACCCUGGGGAUAACAGCGCAAUCCAUUUUAAGAGCCCCUAUCGCCAAAUGGGUUUACGACCUCGAUGUUGGAUCAGGGUAUCCUAGUGGUGCAGCCGCUACUAAUGGUUUGUUUGUUCAACAAUUAAAACCCUACGUGAUCUGAGUUCAGACCA
rnacentral:rRNA from 1 species